GAGUCCUGUGUUUGGAGCACCAGAAAUAAACCAGCUUCAGAAGCAAACUCCCUCCCACCUCUAUCCUUCCUUUAGCCAAGAAGUACAGAUGGAUGAGAUUCUCCUCAGAGUUUUGGGACCGGGAAGAAUGAAGCUGUGGCUGUCAAAAAUGCCUGGUGGACCUAGCGGAUGACACCUAGACAGCAUGUUUGCUGCUGUCCUCUAUGCUGACCAAGCCUCUCCUCUGCAGAUUAAAACCCCUCCGGAUCAGAGCUAGCUCUAAACAGCACCUUGUCGGUUGAGAUUUUGAGCAGUGAGCUGUCUCACUGACAGGGUCCUGCAAGGUGGGCAUACUUGGGAGCCUGAAGGAGAGGUAGAAUAUUUGCCUAACCCCACAGCUAGUAAACCCAGGACAAAUGCAUCGGCAGCUUCUCAAGGCCAGGGAGAGAGAGCACACAUCUUGCCCUAGGAAAUUCACGGACACGCUGAAAUUUGAUGGGAACUGAUCUAGCCAAAUAGGAGGAGAUCAAUUGUUUGCUAGAAUCAACAGAUCUUCCUGUUUAGUGGCUCAGUAAAAUAUCCUUGCCUCUGGGCACAAUGCACCAAGCUGGAGGAUGCCAUCAAGGAGAAGUUCUUUGCCUGAUCUCAUUGACUUUUGCGCACUUUAAGCCUAAAGGGAGCAGGAACAAGAAGCGAGAGGAAAAGGUGAAGGUUAAAGAGAACUAUUUCGGAGAUAAUAAACUCCUUCUGAAUCCUGCCAAGGCUGGCUGCACUGUUCUCUCAGAGGGAGAAGAAUAUCAGCAUGGACUCCCGCCUGUGGUCUUGAAAUAGGCAAGUCACCAAGGGACAAAGACUGUUCUGUGAGUUUGGGCUCCCUGGGGCAGCUGUUCCUGAGCUCUUACAAUGGCCCUGGCACCAGACACUGAUUCAGAGUUUUGUGGGGAGCCCAGGAAAAUUCUCACUAUUUAAACUAAGACAAGUCCAAGGCUGAAUGCCCUGUCCAUGC
rnacentral:sRNA from 1 species